GACGAACGCUGGCGGCGUGCUUAACACAUGCAAGUCGAACGAAGUGGAGAACGGGUGAGUAAGGAGUAAUCAACCUGCACUUCAGAGGGGGACAACAGUUGGAAACGACUGCUAAUACAGCAUACUGAAGGAGGGGCGUGCGUCUGAUUAGCUAGGUGGAGGGGUAACGGCCCCCCAAGGCGCUGAACAGUAGCCGGUCUGAGAGGAUGAACGGCCACAUUGGGACUGAGACAAGGCCCAGACUCCUACGGGAGGCAGCAGUGGGGAAUCUUCCGCAAUGGACGAAAGUCUGACGGAGCACCGCCGCGUGAGUGAUGACGGCCUUCGGGUUGUAAAGCUCUGUUAAGCGGGACGCGGUACCGGAAUAGAAAGCCACGGCUAACUACGUGCCAGCAGCCGCGGUAAUAC
rnacentral:rRNA from 1 species